GUCACACCUUAGAUGUAGCCACACUGUACUGUCUGUUCAGCUCACCUCUACCCCAUGGAUUGCAGAAUCCAUGUUUCUUCUGCCCCCCUUCCAUCCAUGUCUCUGUUCCCUUCCCUUUCAUGUCUUUUCUUCCCCCUUCUUCAAUGUCUGUUUAGCGGCGGAACUAGAGGAGAGAGGGCCCUGGUGCAAGAAUGUUUUGAGCCCACUCUAUCGCAAGGAUGGCCAAAAGGUAGAUCCCUAUUUGCCGUACAAUUCCGACAAUGCUUUGCCUGCUUUGGAUCUACAAUUUGCACAUCCUUGCAGGGUUUUAUUUAGCACUGAGCAGUGUUUGUGUGUUUAAAUGUAAGUAUAUUUUUGUAUGGAUUAUGUGUGGGGGAAUGUAGGAACGUGUGUAGUGUGUUUUUUUAUGCACUGUAGCCAUUUGAAAGCAGUGGUUUACUUGUGUGCAGUGUUUGCCUUUGAAUGUAGG